rnacentral:misc_RNA from 1 species
UCUCCGUAGGUGACACUGCGGAGGGAUCAUUACUGAGUGAGGGUUUAACCGCCCGACCUCCAACCCUUUGUGAAUCGUACUCGUUGCUUCGGGGGCGACCCUGCCGUUCGCGGCGUGGGGCCCCCGGAGGCUCAUCAAACACUGCAUCUCUGCGUCGGAGUCUUAAUGAAUUCAAACAAAACUUUUAACAACGGAUCUCUUGGUUCUGGCAUCGAUGAAGAACGCAGC